rnacentral:rRNA from 1 species
GACGUAGGGCGCGAGCGUUGUCCGGAUUUAUUGGGCGUAAAGAGCUCGUAGGCGGCUUGUCGCGUCGACUGUGAAAUCCCGCGGCUCAACUGCGGGUCUGCAGUCGAUACGGGCAGGCUAGAGUUCGGUAGGGGAGACUGGAAUUCCUGGUGUAGCGGUGAAAUGCGCAGAUAUCAGGAGGAACACCAAUGGCGAAGGCAGAUCUCUGGGCCGUAACUGACGCUGAGGAGCGAAAGCAUGGGGGAGCGAACAGG